UGGAGACCGUUAUCGGAUUCCUUCCGCGAGUGAUGCUUCCGAGUAUCGACUGGACUACGGAGAUGUCUCGUUAGCCGGCGAAGUGCGCAAAUAGGUUACAAAGGUUAGGCGGAUUACGGGUCUGGUUGCAGCUGAAGAGGUUAACCAGGCUAACUGAUAAAACUGAUUAAUCUCCGACUGGGUCACGAAUAUUUUGUUACAGCUGGGUCGAGUGCUCGGCAAGCAGCUUUUGGUUGAAUUCGUGCCGCACAGUCAAGUCACCAACAUGCUUCUUCAUCAUCUUCCGCCGUUCCUCGAGGUUCUCCAGCUUCGCAAUCAAGGAGAUCUUCAGCUUUGCCUUCUGGGCGACCUGUCGAGGCAACGCGAAUGUCUUGUGAUCUUUUGUUAAAUUAAUACAGAUUCUUUAGUGGAAUUAAAUUUAAUAUGUACGUCAAACUGUAAUAAAUUAAUAAUAAUAAUAAUAAUAAUAAUAAUGCAAAAAUUGUAUUAUUCGUAGGUUCCAUUUGGAAAUAAUUAAACGUAAUUAAAUGUACGAUGUUUAAGCGGAAAUUUGAUCCAAUGAUAAAAACUAAUCUGUCAAAGUCAGUAAAUUGAUGAUAAUAAAAAGGAAAUUAUCAGGUCUA